rnacentral:pre_miRNA from 1 species
AGCCUUCUGGGUCCGUGCAGAGAUUUCGUCAGAUACUAGAUCAUCAGGACUGAUGAAACUUCUAAGAUAAGUGAGGCG